rnacentral:lncRNA from 1 species
UUGAACUCCUACAAACUUAGGGGCCAAUCUCUGCCAUGUAGGUAAGCUACUUCUCCAUUUUUUCUUUAUUCGCUAUGAAUUUGUUACCAUCAUGUAACCUUCACUGAAGGGAAUAAAAGCCCUAAGGAGGAAUGGCUUGAUUCUCAUCCAUCUUCAUUUGAUUUCAGUUUUAAAACUUAGGCAAAAUCCUACAAUUCUGCAUUGUCCACACCAUC